GAUGAACGCUGGCGGCGUGCCUAAUACAUGCAAGUCGAGCGAACGGACGAGAAGCUUGCUUCUCUGAUGUUAGCGGCGGACGGGUGAGUAACACGUGGAUAACCUACCUAUAAGACUGGGAUAACUUCGGGAAACCGGAGCUAAUACCGGAUAAUAUUUUGAACCGCAUGGUUCAAAAGUGAAAGACGGUCUUGCUGUCACUUAUAGAUGGAUCCGCGCUGCAUUAGCUAGUUGGUAAGGUAACGGCUUACCAAGGCAACGAUGCAUAGCCGACCUGAGAGGGGGACCGCACACACUGAAACGGAACCAGGUUCCGCACUCCAAGGGGGGGCGGCGGUGGGGACUCUUCCGCAAGGGGCGAAAGCCGGAGGGAGCAACGCGGCGUGAGUGAUGAAGGUCUUGGGAUCGAAAAACUCUGUUAUGAGGAAAAAAAAUAUGGAUAAGUACCUGUGAACAUCUGGGGGUUACCUAAUCAGAAGCCCAGGGCUAACUCGGUC
rnacentral:rRNA from 1 species